GACGAACGCUGGCGGCGUGCUUAACACAUGCAAGUCGAACGGAAAGGCCCUGCUUUUGUGGGGUGCUCGAGUGGCGAACGGGUGAGUAACACGUGAGUAACCUGCCCUUGACUUUGGGAUAACUUCAGGAAACUGGGGCUAAUACCGGAUAGGAGCUCCUGCUGCAUGGUGGGGGUUGGAAAGUUUCGGCGGUUGGGGAUGGACUCGCGGCUUAUCAGCUUGUUGGUGGGGUAGUGGCUUACCAAGGCUUUGACGGGUAGCCGGCCUGAGAGGGUGACCGGCCACAUUGGGACGGAGAUACGGCCCAGACUCCUACGGGAGGCAGCAGUGGGGAAUAUUGCACAAUGGGCGGAAGCCUGAUGCAGCAACGCCGCGCGCGGGAUGACGGCAUUCGGGUUGUAAACCGCUUUCGCCUGUGACGAAGCGUGAGUGACGGUAAUGGGUAAAGAAGCACCGGCUAACUACGUG
rnacentral:rRNA from 1 species